UACGGAGGGAGCUAGCGUUGCUCGGAAUUACUGGGCGUAAAGGGCGCGUAGGCGGACAGUUUAGUCAGAGGUGAAAGCCCAGGGCUCAACCCUGGAAUUGCCUUUGAUACUGACUGUCUUGAGUACGGGAGAGGUGUGUGGAACUCCGAGUGUAGAGGUGAAAUUCGUAGAUAUUCGGAAGAACACCAGUGGCGAAGGCGACACACUGGCCCGUUACUGACGCUGAGGCGCGAAAGCGUGGGGAGCAAACAGG
rnacentral:rRNA from 1 species